GACGGAGGAUGCAAGUGUUAUCCGGAAUCACUGGGCGUAAAGGGUCUGUAGGUGGUUUUUUAAGUAUGCUGUUAAAGCUUGAAGCUCAACUUCAAAAAUGCAUCGGAAACUAGAAGACUUGAGUAUGGUAGGGGUAGAGGGAAUUUCCAGUGAAGUGGUGAAAUGCGUAGAUAUUGGAAAGACCACCAAAGGCGAAGGCACUCUACUGGGCCACAACUGACACUGAGAGACGAAAGCUAGGGGAGCGAACGGG
rnacentral:rRNA from 1 species